rnacentral:lncRNA from 1 species
AUGGUAAGAGGAAUACGGGGCUGCCAUAUAGACUUUGUCCUCAGCUGUACCACUAAUUCCAGCAACUCACGUGGCCUCGGAGAAACACCCAUCAUCACCUUUUGGCUUCUUUCGAGUAUGGAACUAACUGGAUCCACACCUCCAACACUAAAAUGGGAAACAUGUACAUGGUUCGGAGCAAUAGAAACAUCAUCAUCAUGUUUGUGCUUCUAUUUCAGAGAAGGGCUGGAAGGAAGGAGCCAAGAAGGGGACUGCCUCCUGCUGCGCGUUCCCCCUGCCGCGGAUGCCGAGGCCCGGAGCGGGGUGCUCUGCGGCGCCCCAUGUGUCUGGCCGUGUUGCAGAAAGAGCAAGCAAAGGAGAUGGAGGGGGAGAACGGCACUCCCCCCACCAGCACGAGGAAUGGUGGACGUGGAGGGAGGAGGCAGAGGCCUUUGUAAGACGCACUCUGGAGCCAUAGAGCCAGGAUCCACCCACGGUCCACGGUCUCUUCCGAGAGCGGGCAGCCCCCUCCUCCUCCUCCCUGUGUCCUUGGGACUUGGAGCCGCACCUCCGCGCGCAGGCAGGAAGCGUGGCCUGCUGUGCACGCUCCGGGCACCCGGCCAGCAGCUGUGGAGGGGGCCCCCUGCGCACCCUGGUCACCGCUCCUCUGUGGCAGCUUUCUCUUCAAAUAGGAAGACCAUCCCGAGGACGGGGCCCUCCUCUUGUUUGCAGACGUUGGUGAGCCCCGAGGCUCCCAGAGCAGCCUUUGUCACCACCCCUGCGUAGCAGACCUGACAGGGCAGGCGUAGAAAUUCUUCGGUGCCGUGCAGCCUGCGAGGAUCAGCUGUGUGCCUCGUACUGUGUCCACUCUGCAAUAUUCACCGAACCCGUCUUUCGUUCUCUCUCUCUUUCCUGGUUUCCCUUUUUCGACUAAUAACAGCAGGCCUUUUGCGUUUACAGUGGAACACAAUCACCAAGAAAUUAGUCAGGGCGAAAAGAAAAAAAUAAUAAUAAUAAUUAACCAACAAACAAGAACCUCUCUUUUUAGGGAUUUCUACAUAUAUCAAAUGACUGUUCCUUAGAAUGUUUUAAGAAUUAUUUCAGUUUGUCGGGGCCACCUUGGGGGCUGGGGGCGGGGGGGGGGGGCGGCGAGAGAGGGAGAUGGAUGCCAUUUACCUCAAAUCUUUUCAAAUGGAAAUCCAAAUUGCGUUUUCCUUUGGACCGUUCAGGAUCAUUUUCUAUGUCGGUUAGCUUUUUGUUUUCUCCGACUCCCCCAGUGUGGUUUGGGAUGAUUUGUUUCAUUUGGUUCUUUUCUUCCUUCGUUGCUGUCCUCCAUCCCGUUUCUGACUCUGGACCGUGACCCUCUGUGUUUUCUGUUAGGUGAGUGUGCUGGGUUUUCUCUCCCACCGGGAAGUGGCAGCACCCCUCCUUCUCCCCUCUAAGGAACUCUGCAGAACCUUUCACACUUCUAACUCAGGGACGGGGCUGGCGUGUGUGUGGUACACUGGUGUGUCCAGAAGCAGCACUUUGGCUGUUCUGGAGUAGGGUUGUACAACGUCAAGGAAUGUUUGGAUUUCCUGCAUCUUGUGGAUUCCUCCUUAGAUACUGCAUAGAUUGCAAUAUAAUGCUGCAUGUUCCAGAUGAACAGUAGCUCCUAGUAAUCAUAAAAUCCACUCUUUGCACAUAGUUUGAUCUUUACUGAAAUACGUUGCCAAAAUUUAUUUUUGUUGUGGUGUAGCUCUGGAAUUUUUUUGUUUUGUUUUGUUUUUUAAGAAAACAAUUGACA